UCGAAUCCAAUCAGGAGCAGUUGGUGAU
rnacentral:piRNA from 1 species